UACCUCUAACUCUAGUAUUUUUUCUUUGGAUAACAGAAGCAGACUAGUCCACUUUACACGUCGCUACUCAGGCCAAAUAAAGAUAGAUAAUACAGUGGCAAAAGGCUGGUUUUAUUCUCCGUUGCACAGCUUGAAUUCUUCCUUGUUCAAUGUGCGACAAAAGAAAUCCCAUUUUGUGGUUCCUAAGUCUAAGCAGCACAAAUUCUAUUUUCACUUAGUCUAUUAAGUGAGUCUAGUCUCACAGUGUAAGACAGCAAUACUCACGACUGUGCUAAUACAUCUAACUUUGUUGCUACACUAUACAAAGUAAUAUUUUUUAUCCUGUCAUCUUUAGAAAAGUGUAAGAAAUGAUUUGAGAUCCUGAGCUGUGGAGAGCCUGCUUUCAGAACCUGCUGACUGGUGCUUCUCUGACAUCAACUGUAGCUUUGCUAAGAUCAGAGUUCCAAUAUGACCAGGCUCUUGAAAGGGAAGCACUGAAUACAGAGCACAUUUAUCAAGGCAAAAGUGCUUAACUAUGACCUUAAGCACAUGCUGCUGCUUGUUAGUAUAACUGAAGCUACACAAACAUGAUAAAAGAUGUUAACCCAACUUUCAGAAGAGAAGGGUUCAAUAUCCUGCCAUGGUACAGACACAUGGGCAAUCAAUCUGGUGUUUCAUUUCUACAUCUCUGAAAAAAAGACAUCUAUUCACCUAUACUCCAGAGAUCUUAUUCAGUGUCUUCUCAGCAAAACUACAGUCCUCCAGAGUCAAUUUUCCUAAUAGAGUCCUCCCUGACUAGGUUGGACAAAUGUCAUGUCCCCUGGCUCUAUCCAUCUUGUAAUGAAAAUUAGACCUAUUGCCAGCUACACCUUGCUGAUUGCUUCCUACCUGCUGCUAAGGAUAAUUUGUGCAGUGUAAAUGAAGACUUCAGCAGUUGGUGAAAGGAAAAAAGGUACAAGAAAGGGCUGAUGUUCAACAUUUACAAAAGACAGCCAAUAAAGACACAGUUCUGCUUAGCUGAAAAUGUGUA
rnacentral:lncRNA from 1 species